UUUAGCGACCAUAGCAUUACGGACCCACCUGAUUCCAUGCCGAACUCAGAAGUGAAACGUAAUAGCGCCGAUGGUAGUGUGGGGCUUCCCCAUGUGAGAGUAGGACAUUGCUAGGC
rnacentral:rRNA from 2 species